rnacentral:rRNA from 1 species
AUUGAACGCUGGCGGCAGGCCUAACACAUGCAUGUCGAGCGGGGUUUUCGGACCUAGCGGCGGACGGGUGAGUAAUGCGUAGGAAGCUGCCCGAUAGAGGGGGAUACCAGUUGGAAACGACUGUUAAUACCGCAUAAUGUCUACGGACCAAAGUGUGGGACCUUCGGGCCACAUGCUAUCGGAUGCGCCUACGUGGGAUUAGCUAGUUGGUGAGGUAAUGGCUCACCAAGGCGACGAUCUCUAGCUGGUUUGAGAGGAUGAUCAGCCACACUGGAACUGAGACACGGUCCAGACUCCUACGGGAGGCAGCAGUGGGGAAUAUUGGACAAUGGGCGCAAGCCUGAUCCAGCCAUGCCGCGUAUGUGAAGAAGGCCUUCGGGUUGUAAAGCACUUUCAGCGAGGAGGAAGGGUUAGUCGUUAAUAGCGGCUAAUUUUGACGUUACUCGCAGAAGAAGCACCGGCUAACUCUGUGCCAGCCGCCGCGGUAAGAC